rnacentral:rRNA from 1 species
UACGUAGGGGGCAAGCGUUGUCCGGAUUUAUUGGGCGUAAAGAGCGUGUAGGCUGCCUGACUGGUCUGCUGUGAAAACUCGAGGCUCAACCUCGAGAUGUCGGCGGAAACCACUUGGCUAGAGUCCGGAAGAGGAGAGUGGAAUUCCCGGUGUAGCGGUGAAAUGCGCAGAUAUCGGGAAGAACACCUAUGGCGAAGGCAGCUCUCUGGGACGGUACUGACGCUGAGACGCGAAAGCGUGGGGAGCGAACAGG